GACGAACCGUGCGAACGUUGUUCGGAUUCACUGGGCUUAAAGGGCGCGUAGGCGGGCGAGCGAGUCCGGGGUGAAAUCUUUCGGCUUAACCGGAAAAGGGCCUUGGAUACCGCUCGUCUCGAGGGAGGUAGGGGCAGGCGGAACUUCCGGUGGAGCGGUGAAAUGCGUUGAUAUCGGAAGGAACGCCGGUGGCGAAAGCGGCCUGCUGGACCUCAUCUGACGCUGAGGCGCGAAAGCCAGGGGAGCGAACGGG
rnacentral:rRNA from 1 species